rnacentral:lncRNA from 1 species
GGUAGAGAGUUGCUUAGCUUAUUACUCUAUUUGAUGCCUGAUGGAUUGAGGCUCACUACUAACAUAGGUUCCUUCAUGUUCCAAGCUACAGCCAGAAAAAAGUGAACAGUCUCUUGGUCUCACCUUAUAAGAAGUUUUCUCCAUCCACUAGCUCACCCACAUCAUAUUUCAGAUUCCUAAGGAUUGUGGAGUUGGCUGGGAAUAGAACACAGGAGGAAUGAGUACUUAGAAUUAUAUUUACAAUGGCAAUGUGCAAAAAGGAAUUGCAAGUAGUGCUUGAUCAUAUUGAGGAAUGAAAAAGAAAAUAGAAGAUACUGAAUAAAAAUGAAAUGUCUCAGGUGAAGCCAUGGAAAACAGCAAGUGGAAAGACUAUUGCACUUUUAGAAUCAGGAGUUGAAUCUAUUUUUUUUUUAUUUUGCCAUACAAUAGCCAUGAACUCAGCUAAAACAUUUGAACACUCAAUAUAAUUUUUUCACCUACAAAAUUAUGAGUGCCAUUGGUAACAUUGACCUCACAUCAAAACAAGUGUAGCAAAUAAGGAAAUAGAGAGGAUCUUUUUCUUGUUCAUUAAAAUAUUUCCUUUUAUUAAAAACUGAACAUGUCAGUAUUAAUAUUUCUGCAUUGAUGAAUAGAAAAGAUAAUUCUACAUGUAAAUAUGCAUAUUAUAUGAGAAGUCUUAUGGAGUAGUCAAUAUAGACCUGGCCUUGAGAUAAAAUAAAUGUAGGUUCAAGUCCUUUCUCUAACA